UACACAUGCAGUCGACUNGACAUUCGAGAUUAGCGGCGGACGGGUGAGUAACGCGUGGGAACGUGCCCUUUUCUACGGAAUAGCCUCGGGAAACUGAGAGUAAUACCGUAUACGCCCUUUUGGGGAAAGAUUUAUCGGAGAAGGAUCGGCCCGCGUUGGAUUAGGUAGUUGGUGGGGUAAUGGCCUACCAAGCCGACGAUCCAUAGCUGGUUUGAGAGGAUGAUCAGCCACACUGGGACUGAGACACGGCCCAGACUCCUACGGGAGGCAGCAGUGGGGAAUCUUAGACAAUGGGGGCAACCCUGAUCUAGCCAUGCCGCGUGAGUGAUGAAGGCCUUAGGGUUGUAAAGCUCUUUCAGCUGGGAAGAUAAUGACGGUACCAGCAGAAGAAGCCCCGGCUAACUCCGUGCCAGCAGCCGCGGUAAU
rnacentral:rRNA from 1 species